AGACUACUAUGUUAAACAAAUACAUUAAGCGGCUAAGUAACAUGCAUAUGUAUAUGCCAUUUUAAUUCAAAGUCAUGCAUUUGGAGUUUUUCAACAAAUCCUAUAAUGUUCAAAGCAAACUUAGCUCUUUACCCAUGUGUCCAUCUAAUAGGUUUCACGUUUCAAAUAAAACUAGUUCUACAUUAUUUUCACAUUUUGUUUUUAUAAAUUUAACCCAUCUUUGUCUAUAUAAACUGUCAUUUUCUUUAUUUCUUUUUUUCAUGUUCAUGUUUUACAACAACAUAUUAUGAUAUCAAUACAUUAUAUUUUUAAUAAUAUUAGAUUUAAAAAACUGAAAUAUCAAUACAUUACAAUUUAAGUCAAUAAAAUUAAUUACAAAAAAUAUGCAUAUUCUCUUAUUUUAGUGUUUAAAACAUAAUUUUUAAAAAUUGUAUAAAAUAAGUAAUUCACUCUACCAAUGUUGGUUUGGUGUAAUAAACCUAGUCGUCUUGAGAAGACUACUAUGUUAAACAAAUACAUUAAGCGACUAAGUAAUAUGUAUAUGUAUAUGCCAUUUUAAUUCAAAGACAUGCAUUUGGAGUAUUUCAACCCAUCCUAUAAUGUUCAAACCAAACUUAUCUCUUUACCCAUGUAUCCAUAUAACAGGUUUCACGUUUCUAAUAAAAUUGGUUUUAUGUUAUUUUCAAGUCUUGUUUUGUUUUCAUAACUUUAACCCAUCUUUGUCUAUAUA
rnacentral:lncRNA from 1 species